GAUGAAGAACGUAGCGAAAUGCGAUAAGUAAUGUGAAUUGCAGAAUUCAGUGAAUCAUCGAAUCUUUGAACGCAUCUUGCGCUCCUUGGUAUUCUGAGGAGCAUGCCUGUUUGAGUGUCAUUAAAUUCUCAACUACACUGACUUUGAAUUGGUGUGGCUUGGAUUUGGGGGGAAAAUUGUUGUGGGCUUUUUGUAUAGUCUGCUCCCCUAAAAUUGAUUAGCGGUACCUUUGUGGAACUGUCUACAGGUGUGAUAAUUAUCUACAUCUUAGACAUCUGCUGGAAUGCUGCUUUCUAAACCUUACUUGUAUUGACAAUCUUGACCUCAAAUCAGGUAGGACUACCCGCUGAACUUAAGCAUAUCAAUAAGCGGAGGA
rnacentral:misc_RNA from 1 species